rnacentral:rRNA from 1 species
UACGGGGGGGGCAAGCGUUGUUCGGAAUUACUGGGCGUAAAGGGCUCGUAGGUGGCCAACUAAGUCAGACGUGAAAUCCCUCGGCUUAACCGGGGAACUGCGUCUGAUACUGGAUGGCCUGAGUUCGGGAGAGGGAUGCGGAAUUCCAGGUGUAGCGGUGAAAUGCGUAGAUAUCUGGAGGAACACCGGUGGCGAAGGCGGCAUCCUGGACCGACACUGACACUGAGGAGCGAAAGCCAGGGGAGCAAACGGG